AGAGACCGGCGCACGGGUGCGUAACGCGUAUGCAAUCUACCUUUCACAGAGGGAUAGCCCAGAGAAAUUUGGAUUAAUACCUCAUAGUAUUAUAGAGUGGCAUCACUUUAUAAUUAAAGUCACAACGGUGAAAGAUGAGCAUGCGUCCCAUUAGCUAGUUGGUAAGGUAACGGCUUACCAAGGCAACGAUGGGUAGGGGUCCUGAGAGGGAGAUCCCCCACACUGGUACUGAGACACGGACCAGACUCCUACGGGAGGCAGCAGUGAGGAAUAUUGGACAAUGGGCGCAAGCCUGAUCCAGCUAUGCCGCGUGCAGGAUGACGGUCCUAUGGAUUGUAAACUGCUUUUGCACAGGAAGAAACACUCGGACGUGUCCGAGCUUGACGGUACUGUGAGAAUAAGGAUCGGCUAACUCCGUGCCAGCAGCCGCGGUAAUACGGAGGAUCCAAGCGUUAUCCGGAAUCAUUGGGUUUAAAGGGUCCGUAGGCGGUUUAGUAAGUCAGUGGUGAAAGCCCAUCGCUCAACGGUGGA
rnacentral:rRNA from 1 species